CAUGCAAGUCGAACGAUGAAGAAAAGAAUUGAAGCUUCGGCAGAAAUUCAUUUCGGAUUAGUGGCAGACGGGUGAGUAACGCGUGAGCAACCUACCUCUUACAAAGGGAUAGCCUCGGGAAACCGGGAUUAAUACCAUAUAACAUUGCGACGAAGCAUUUCGAUGCAAUCAAAGCUACGGCGGUAAGAGAUGGGCUCGCGUCCCAUUAACCAGAUGGUGAGGUAACGGCUCACCAUAGUAACGAUGGGUAACCGGCCUGAGAGGGUGAACGGUCACACUGGAACUGAGACACGGUCCAGACUCCUACGGGAGGCAGCAGUGGGGAAUAUUGCACAAUGGAGGGAACUCUGAUGCAGCGACGCCGCGUGAGUGAUGAAGGAAUUCGUUUCGUAAAACUCUGUUCUAUGGGAAGAAAAGGACUGUACCAUAGGAGAAAGCUCCGGCUAAAUACGUGCCAGCAGCCGCGGUAAUACGUAUGGAGCGAGCGUUGUCCGGAAUUAUUGGGCGUAAAGGGUGCGCAGGCGGCUUUACAAGUUGGAUGUGAAAUAUUGUGGCUCAACCAC
rnacentral:rRNA from 1 species